rnacentral:rRNA from 2 species
ACGCUGGCGGUAGGCCUAACACAUGCAAGGCGAGCGGCAGCACAGGAGAGCUUGCUCUCUGGGUGGCGAGUGGCGGACGGGUGAGGAAUACAUCGGAAUCUACUUUUUCGUGGGGGAUAACGUAGGGAAACUUACGCUAAUACCGCAUACGACCUACGGGUGAAAGCAGGGGAUCUUCGGACCUUGCGCGAUUGAAUGAGCCGAUGUCCGAUUAGCUAGUUGGCGGGGUAAAGGCCCACCAAGGCCACGAUCCGUAGCUGGUCUGAGAGGAUGAUCAGCCACACUGGAACUGAGACACGGUCCAGACUCCUACGGGAGGCAGCAGUGGGGAAUAUUGGACAAUGGGCGCAGGCCUGAUCCAGCCAUACCGCGUGGGUGAAGAAGGCCUUCGGGUUGUAAAGCCCUUUUGUUGGGAAAGAAAUCCAGCUGGYUAAUACCCGGUUGGGAUGACGGUACCCAAAGAAUAAGCACCGGCUAACUUCG